CCCAGAGUGUAUUUCUCCAAUCCCCCAAACAUGAGCCAAGGCUUAAUGCUGGAACAAGACUGAUUUACUGGCACACAGAACUCACAAUUUAUGCAACACAAAACUCCUCCUCUGGGCCAGGCUAGAUAAUUGAGUUUCUACAAUACACAAAGCUCAAUUAUCUGCUGGCCAGAAAUAAUACAGUUUUAACAGCAUAUUCAUAACUUCUAAAAUAUACAUUACAUUCACAUAAAAAUAUAUAUAUUUACAAUCAAUCCAUUCAGGGAAACAACAUAUCAAAAAAUGGCAUGAAUCAGACCAGGGGUUCAGAAGUUAGCAAAGUAUCUUUUGGGGCCUGGCUGGCAGCAUGGCUAUCUGGCCCAAACUGGUUUUACAGAGCCCUCUAGCCUGGAGACAAUGGGGAAAGUAAUCCAAUUAUCCAGGGAUAGAAGCAGACUCCAUUGAGCACAUGUUCCCAGUAAAACACAAAAGGAUACAAAAAUACAUAACUCCUAUCCCUCUGAAUUGAACGGGCCAAAUCUCCCAGGGUCCAUAGUCACAGGGCAAGAGGCAGGCAAGCAGUCCUCUCCAGGCACAAGUGGCGAAGGGCA
rnacentral:lncRNA from 1 species